AUUGAACGCUGGCGGCAGGCCUAACACAUGCAAGUCGAACGAGUGGCGGACGUGUGAGUAAUGUCUGGGAAACUGCCCGAUGGAGGGGGAUAACUACUGGAAACGGUAGCUAAUACCGCAUACCAUCGGAUGUUCCCAGAUGGGAUUAGCUAGUAGGUGGGGUAACGCCUCACCUAGGCGACGAUCCCUAGCUGGUCUGAGAGGAUGCCCAGCCACACUGGAACGUGGACACGGUCCAGACUCCUACGGGACGCAGCAGUGGGGAAUAUUGCGCAAUGGGCGGAAGCCUGAUGCAGCCAUGGCGAGUGUAUGAAGAAGGCCUUCGGGUUGUAAAGUACUUUCAGCGAGGAGGCGUUACCCGCAGAAGAAGCACCGGCUAACUCCGUGCCAGCCGCCGCGGUAAUUC
rnacentral:rRNA from 1 species